AGAGCAUCGUUGAUGUGUGGAAUCCUUACUGUUAUCUUUGCACUUUUGUCGUCAGUGAAGAAACUUUUUGGGGAUGAUUAUUUUGAGAAUGAUC